rnacentral:rRNA from 1 species
UACGAGGGGUGCAAGCGUUGCUCGGAAUUAUUGGGCGUAAAGGGUAGGUAGGUGGUCUCAUUUGUCCGGGGUGAAAGCCUUGAGCUUAACUCAAGAAGUGCCUCGGAAACGGUGAGACUAGAGUCUUGGAGAGGGUCGUGGAAUUCCCGGUGUAGCGGUGAAAUGCGUAGAGAUCGGGAGGAACACCAGAGGCGAAGGCGGCGACCUGGACAAGUACGUGACACUCAACUACGAAAGCGUGGGGAGCAAACAGG